rnacentral:rRNA from 1 species
CAUGCAGGCGGCCUUGUUAGUCAGACGUGAAAGCCCCGGGCUCAACCUGGGACUUGCGUUUGAUACUGCAGGGCUUGAGACCGAGAGAGGGUGGUGGAAUUCCCAGUGUAGAGGUGAAAUUCAUAGAUAUUGGGAGGAACACCAGUGGCGAAGGCGGCCACCUGGCUCGGCUCUGACGCUGAGAUGCGAAAGCGUGGGGAGCAAACA